rnacentral:rRNA from 2 species
GUAAACGGCGGCCGUAACUAUAACGGUCCUAAGGUAGCGAAAUUCCUUGUCGGGUAAGUUCCGACCUGCACGAAUGGCGUAAUGAUGGCCAGGCUGUCUCCACCCGAGACUCAGUGAAAUUGAACUCGCUGUGAAGAUGCAGUGUACCCGCGGCAAGACGGAAAGACCCCGUGAACCUUUACUAUAGCUUGACACUGAACAUUGAGCCUUGAUGUGUAGGAUAGGUGGGAGGCUUUGAAGUGUGGACGCCAGUCUGCAUGGAGCCGACCUUGAAAUACCACCCUUUAAUGUUUGAUGUUCUAACGUGGACCCGUAAUCCGGGUUGCGGACAGUGUCUGGUGGGUAGUUUGACUGGGGCGGUCUCCUCCUAAAGAGUAACGGAGGAGCACGAAGGUUGGCUAAUCCUGGUCGGACAUCAGGAGGUUAGUGCAAUGGCAUAAGCCAGCUUGACUGCGAGCGUGACGGCGCGAGCAGGUGCGAAAGCAGGUCAUAGUGAUCCGGUGGUUCUGAAUGGAAGGGCCAUCGCUCAACGGAUAAAAGGUACUCCGGGGAUAACAGGCUGAUACCGCCCAAGAGUUCAUAUCGACGGCGGUGUUUGGCACCUCGAUGUCGGCUCAUCACAUCCUGGGGCUGAAGUAGGUCCCAAGGGUAUGGCUGUUCGCCAUUUAAAGUGGUACGCGAGCUGGGUUUAGAACGUCGUGAGACAGUUCGGUCCCUAUCUGCCGUGGGCGCUGGAGAACUGAGGGGGGCUGCUCCUAGUACGAGAGGACCGGAGUGGACGCAUCACUGGUGUUCGGGUUGUCAUGCCAAUGGCACUGCCCGGUAGCUAAAUGCGGAAGAGAUAAGUGCUGAAAGCAUCUAAGCACGAAACUUGCCCCGA